UGAACGCUGGCGGUAUGCCUAACACAUGCAAGUCGUACGAGAGUUUUUAACUCUAGUGGCGGACGGGUGAGUAACACGUGAGAACCUACCCUAAGGAGGGGAAUAACAGCUGGAAACGGUUGCCAAUACCCCAUAUGCCGAGAGGUGAAAGGAUGUAUCCACCUUAGGAAGGGCUCGCGCCUGAUUAGCUAGUUGGUGAGGUAAUAGCUCACCAAGGCCAUGAUCAGUAGCUGGUUUGAGAGGACGAUCAGCCACACUGGGACUGAGACACGGCCCAGACUCCUACGGGAGGCAGCAGUGGGGAAUUUUCCGCAAUGGGCGAAAGCCUGACGGAGCAAUACCGCGUGAGGGAUGACGGCCUGUGGGUUGUAAACCUCUUUUCUCAAGGAAGAAGUUCUGACGGUACUUGAGGAAUAAGCAUCGGCUAACUCUGUGCCAGCAGCCGCGGUAAUCUGAUGGCGCGAGG
rnacentral:rRNA from 1 species